CAAAAUACGAAAUCAUGUCAGAGAAUCCAUACUGUACAAACAUUUCUGUGAUCUACAGCAUAGUCCUGAAUCAUUCAAAUACCACAUACUAGAAGUAGUAUCACAAUCCAAACAUAUGGACUUCAAUAAUAAACUUUUGCAAAGGGAAACAUAUUGGAUUUUCAGAUUACGGACAGAACAUCCACAGGGCUUAAAUGAACAAAAUUCAUACAGUUGUUAUAUAUAGAACCUUAGCAUACUAUAAAUCCCUAAUUGAAUACACCCAAUACAAUAAGGGUACUCAUAGCACCAUCUGGUGGUAUUUCUUCUAUAUCUUCAUAUAAACCUUUCUGUUUCUUUAACAUCUUCCCCUUUAAAUUGAGGCAACCCCUUGAUGCUUUUCAUACUCGCAAUUAGAACCUAACACACAGCAGAGUAUCCCGUGAGUAUAUACUGUUUUAGAAAUAUACAAUUUGUUUAAAAACAAAUUUUUGGAUGUUUGUAACUCUUUAAUGCUUAUGGCCACUCCUUGUUCCUUUGACCUAGAUUCCACUGUAAAAAACAGGUAUCUCUAAGGAGAACAAGUGUUAAAUUUGGAACUAUACCACCAGAGGAAGGCCUGAUGCAGGGCCGAAACCGGUCGUGGCGAACUUACUCUUCUCGGCAAUAGAAUAUACAACGCCGAUUGCACUUCAAUGUAUAUUGGACUAUCCAUUUGAGGCUGCUUGUUAUUACUGUGAAUUUAACGCCGACUGCAUUUCUAUGUAUAUGGGACAAUCCAUUUGAUGGUGUUCGAUAUUACUGUGAAUUUAAACAGUAUAUUAAUUUGCCAGAUA